rnacentral:misc_RNA from 1 species
GUGAAUCAUCGAAUCUUUGAACGCACAUUGCGCCCUUCGGUAUUCCGUUGGGCAUGCCUGUUCGAGCGUCAUUUAACCCUUCAAGCUAUGCUUGGUGUUGGGCGUUUGUUCCGCCUCCGCGCGUGGACUCGCCUCAAAUUCAUUGGCAGCCGGUAAGUUGGCUUCGUGCGCAGCACAUUGCGUUUACGAUUCUAGCUUGCCUCCUUCCAGGAAAGCAUCUUUUAUUACUUUGACCUCGGAUCAGGUAGGGAUACCCGCUGAACUUAAGCAUAUCAAUAAGCGGAGGA